GAUGAACGCUAGCGGGAGGCCUAACACAUGCAAGCCGAGCGGUAGAGAUUCUUCGGAAUCUUGAGAGCGGCGCACGGGUGCGGAACACGUGUGCAACCUGCCUUUAUCUGGGGGAUAGCCUUUCGAAAGGAAGAUUAAUACCCCAUAAUAUAUUGAGUGGCAUCACUUGAUAUUGAAAACUCCGGUGGAUAGAGAUGGGCACGCGCAAGAUUAGAUAGUUGGUGAGGUAACGGCUCACCGAGUCAAUGAUCUUUAGGGGGCCUGAGAGGGUGAUCCCCCACACUGGUACUGAGACACGGACCAGACUCCUACGGGAGGCAGCAGUGAGGAAUAUUGGACAAUGGGUGAGAGCCUGAUCCAGCCAUCCCGCGUGAAGGACGACUGCCCUAUGGGUUGUAAACUUCUUUUAUACUGGGAUAAACCUACCCUCGUGAGGGUAGCUGAAGGUACAGUAUGAAUAAGCACCGGCUAACUCCGUGCCAGCCGCCGCCGUAAUAC
rnacentral:rRNA from 1 species